GCGUAUGAAUACGAACUAUUUUCGCCCUAACGUCAUUUUACCGCAAUCGCCAUUGUUUACAAGUUCAUCCGUGAAAGAUUGAGAAGUUUAUAUAGAAGUUCCACGUGUUAAAACGAGUUGUUUGUGAAUAAAGGCUUGUUUGUUAGAUUUCAAUUGUGGCUCAGUUGGUUGUUUGCUGAGAAGCUGUGAAACAUAAUUAUACAGGCCAUUAAGGAGGUUUUUGUCAGAUUGAUGAAUGUGAAAUUAAGAGGACCCAUUUUGAGAAUGCUUUUUAUGAAUGGAAUCAAGAGAGAUAAAGUCUAAAAUGUGAUACUGUCAAUGUGACUAACCUUGAAGUAAACAGAUGACACAAUGUUUUUUCAAUGUCAUGGGCAUAUAAUGAAGAGAAAACAGAGAUGCUUGUUUGACAGAUACAGUAAUAGUAGGAGUUAUGAGGGAAGAUAGAUUGCAGUGAUAACUAUAUUGAGGCACCACUUCAUCACCAAGAACAUGAAAUGAAUUAUCAAUGUUUUCAAUGUGUUUGAACACCCAUUUUAGAUAAUACAGCUCAGAGUGAAUUUUUCAAAAUAAUUAAUUCUGUUUUCAAAGUUUUUUAUUUAGAUGUUAGUUGAUCUUGUCAAGUACUUUAUUUUUUUAGGGAUGGCAACAAUUACUAAAAUCAAUACUCGAGUACUCGGUCAUUUAGAGUAUUCGGUUACUGGGAUGAUUUCCAAUGAUCUUUAAAUUUUUAUCACACAAUAUCAACACCGUCUCCAUGCUACCUUCAUU